ACAGCCAACUUCUUAAAUUAAAUCCUUAGCCCAUACAUUUAAUUAAAAAAGGCCCAAAGCUAAAAAUAAGAGCAUUAGGCCCACCACUUAUACACUCCCCCAAAAUAAAUACUAAUUAAAUUGGCCCAAAAGCCUUAAAAAAAAUCAGCACCAAAAUACUCCCAUUCCUCCUUCUCCAUCGUGACUUUUCUUCCCCAAACUUUCAUUUCCAAAUCAAAACCCUAACUCGACAAGCACAGCAGCGGCGCUCUCCUUUCCAUAUAUCACCUUCCCCGGCGAAUUCACGCCCGGAGUGACUCCGAUCUCCCUCAAAUCGGGCUUCUCUCUCAUUUUCUUCUCUAUUCUUAAAUUUUAAAAUUCUCCAAUUUGGAGUGAAGAGCAGCGACCCAAUCUCGUCCCUCAUCUCUCUCUCCGUCGGAAUUAACUGCAGGCCCUCUGGAGUUCCCGUCGUCGCCCGACUAUCAUUGGACAACUCUUCCUACUAAGCUAAGUUUUCUUCCUAUCGUUUAGCUUAUUUAGUGGGUCUCAAAUUGGCAGAAGCUAUGGAGAAAAUCGGGUUUAUAGGCUACUUUGCCACUAAAAUAAUGAAAAUGUACCCAUUUUGUUAUUUUUUUCAUAAAUGGGAAAAACACUAUCCGCAUUAGCGUGUCUAUAAGUAAAAACGUCAACACAGUUGGCUUUUUAUAUUGUCGUCGUAUUUUAGGCGUAUUUUCUCCAAAUACAAUUAAGUUCGUGUAUAAUUAAAAAACGCCGUUUAAAUUGGCUUGUUUAGUAAAUUAGAAACGCCGUGUUUAGUAAAUUAGAAACGCCGAAGGAAAUAGCGUGUUUAGAUAAAGACGCCAUCGGUUUUAUUAUUACUAGUAAUUUUUUUAUCAUAAUGACAAUUGACACCUCUCUCUUCUCUCUGCAUGUUUGAUCAGGCAGACAGCUGCCCAAUGCCCACUUGGUUGUUAACUACAUUUCAAAUUCAAGUUGUCCUCUAAUUCAAAGUUAAGGAAUGACAUCUCCAUCGACUUCGGCUCAAAGUUAUGGUGCGAACAAGGGCGAGCACCAUUCAGAGGUCCCACUUUCAAGAGAUGGAACGAUGAUAACAUUGUACUUUUAUACUUUUGCCUUUUAGUCUUAUUAAGUUGGAGUUGUUGUACCGUUAGUCAUCGUGUUUAGAUUUGAAUUCAUUUGUCUCUUCAUCAUGUUCAAUAAUCCAUGCGAGAUGUUUUGAAAUUA